ensembl:lncRNA
CAUCCCUUUCUUUGUCUUCUUCAUGGUCAUUUCUUUCAAACACAUCUGCAGGUUUAUAAAUCCCAGCCCCAAUUUUAAAGACUCACAAUAGACUUUUUGGUUUUUUAAAAAAAUGAAUGAGGCUCGUGAUGUCACGUUGAAACCAAGAACGAGGAGACCUGCGUCGUCCAUUUGUGUAUGUCAUUAUCUAGCUGGAAGGAUGAAUUACUUACCUUGUCAGGUUUCUUGUUUUUCGGCUUAAAAAACCUUGGCUUCUAGACUUAGAAUAUGGAUUGGCCAACCAGUUAGAAGAAUGCAAUGAAAGAAUUUUUUUAAAAAGUGUCCCCUCCAGCUCUAACAUGCCAUGACUCUGAACGAACAGGUGCAACUGAUGGGGAGUGAGGCAGGCUUGUAUUGUGGCUGUGUGCGUGUGAACUUCGCCAUUCUAGGGAUGAUGAGCAGGAGGAUAAAGAACCUCCCCACUGGGUGCUGCUGAGAUUAAACAGAAAGCAGGAAGAGUCCCCUGGUGGCCUCGUGGUUAAGGACUUGGCUAUUGUCACUGCUGUGGCUCGGAUUUGAUCCCUGGCUAUGGGGAACAAGCAUAAGUGUUGUUCCAGGUAGACUGUGGGCUAUGGGGCUUUUUAAGUGAUGCAGAGACUGGAGCAGAACUCUGGCCCAACAGAGCAGAGUGUCAGAGGCCCCCUCCUCCAUGAAAAUUGUCACCUCCUUGCCACCGUCCACUUUGUGCUACCUACUGCCUCAAUCAGUGUUUCUUCUUGGUAAUCUUUCAAAGUUUAUACUUACUUCUCUUCUGAUCCCUAUUUGAGGAAUGUGAAUGGCUUAGGUUUUUAGGUUCGUUCCCCCCUCUCCCCUCUCUAGAUUAAUACAGCUAAUGUGGAACUAUGGUGCCAGGAGCUGCUGCUAGAGAAAAGCAGAAAAUGCAGGCCUCCCCUGGAUGCCUCCGGGCAUGGAAUUUUACUUCUCUGGUGACUUCUUAGGCCCAUGGGAAAGUGAGAGGAGGCGGCCUCCUGGGGGCGGCUGGCUCAGCCCCUGGAACUGGGAGCCGGAGCCAGCCCCGUAGUGUGUGGCCGUCAGUAUGACGCAGAGAGGCGUGUGAAUGCAGCCGGCUGCUGCAGCUGGUGCACUUGACUCUGGGCAGCGUGUUCCCAGGAACCCGCAGGACACCGAGGACAGAGAGUGAUGUAACCCAGAUCUGCCAGAUGUGGGAGCCAGCGUGAGUCACGCUGGACGAUUCAUUGAGAAAUGUUUUCUGGGUCAUCUGAGCAGGGAGCACUGGCUGCUUCCCCUGCCAUCUGGGGUUGGAGGCACCCAAGUCCACACACCAGGAAUUCCCAAGUUCACUAACAUCUGUCUAAAAUUACAGCCUGGUUCUCUGAGCUGACACAGUGCAGAGCCCAGACUCUGUGACGGUCCCAGGCCUGUAAUUUGUUCCCGGAUUUUACCACUUUGGGUUGUGGAGGGUGGGAGGUAAUCAGUUAAUAAAAACCUACAUGGAAGUUGCUGUGAGGUUUCUAUACAUUCUGUCAAGACCAGACAUGGGAUGGGAGGUUGCGAAAAGCCAACAGCGCUGUGGGCAUUGUGGCCAAUGAACUACCAGGAAUUGUGGUCUUCUUUUCUGUUAGAUGUGGGCAAGACGCCUCGUGGUGAAUAAGAUACAUGUAUUUCUGAGAAGGUGUAAGCUGUCUUAAAAAAAAAAAAAAACCCUGGUGUGUAUAUAACAACCAACCAGAAAAGUGCAUGCAUACAUCACUAUGUGAAAUCGCACCCCCAGGUAACUAGAGGGUUGAAUGGUGGCUCCCAGACAGAGAGGUCCUUCAGAACCUGGGAAUGGGAUCUUAUUUGGAAAGGGGUUUUUUGAUAUUAAGGUUCUUGAGACCCUGAAUUACCUGGGUGGUCCCUACAUCCAAUGACAUGUCUCCUUCCAAGAGACAGAAGAAAAGAAGAGGCCACGGAAGAGAAGGCCACACGAAGAUAGAAACAGAGAUUGAAGAGCUGUGGACACAAGGAACAGCUCGAGCCGCCAGGAGCUGGAAGAGGCAAAUGGGAUUGUCCCCUAGAGCCUUCAGAAAGAGCCUGGUCCUGCCGACACCUUGGUUUCUGGCUUCCGGCUUCCAGAACUGUGAGAGAAUGAAUUUCUGUUGUGUUAGGCAACCAAGUUUGUAGUGAUCCACUAUAGAAACUAAGAAAAAAUAACCCACACCCAGAUCAAAGGCACAGGACCCUCAUGCCUCAUUCCUGUCUUCUCAUCACCCCAGGGUAACCGCUGUCCUGACUCCCAACACAAUAGAUGGGUUUUGCACCCUUGGAGCUUAAUUAAACAGAGUAAGAGUAUGUGGUUUCCUGUGUCACACGUCUUCCAUGCGGCACUGUAAUUGUGAGACGUGUCCUGUUGUUGUGUGCUUGGUCAUUCUCACUGCUGUGUAGUGUUCCAUGGUGUGAAUGCGCUAUAGUUUAUUUCUUCUCCUGGGGACAUCUGAGUCGCUUCCUGUUUGGCAUUAUUACAAAUAGUGCUUUUAGGGAAUAUGUGUAUUUUGUUGGUUAUGUUCUCAGGAGUUGAAUUGUUAUAUGAUCAGCUUUAGUAGAUAUUGCCAAACAGUUUUCCAAUUAAUUUUUAAAAUACCCAAUCAUAUUUGGAGUCCUUUUGUUAGAUGGAGACGCCAAUGGCACGAAGUCAGUAGCUGUUACUUAGUGUGAGUAUUUUGUAAGGCCCAAGUGUUGGAGAUAGGGUUUUUAGAAGAAGGUCCUUCUUCCUAGGUAGGACCUCUGCCUUCUCAGUAAGGAAUUCUCUGUGUCAGAAGAACCUGUUACAGGCCUGGGCAAGUGUUAGAGCACCCCAGUUUUGGGGAAUCAGAGAGGCUAAGGCAACUGAUGGUGAAUUCUAAAUAUUCUUCACCCAUCACUGGCAAGAUGAAUGGCACUGCUGCAGUAUCUCCCAUCUCCAGUCUCAGCAACAAAUUUGCCAUCUCAUAAGAGCUCCAGUUUCACUCUUUUCCAACUUUCAAGUUUAGGUCUAUGCUCUAUAACUUAGAAAGCAACCUAAUGAUAUGCAGUAUUUCUAAAUAUUCUGCUUUGAUAAGUCUGUGGGAAAACUACUGCUGUAGCAGAAUAAACUAGACUAAAAUUCUGGGUCCCUACCUGUCUAAAAUUGAGGCUGCUUCUAAUUUGUCUGAUGCCUCUAGAUCCUUGUGGAAAUAGGGGAGGGUGGGAUUGACCUCAAAGUACUGAAAUGGGGGUUGGAAAGGAGAGGAAGGUGUGGUGGCAGUAACCCAGCCAUCAUUGUAAAAAGAAGUCUUUGUUUUCUUACUAUAACAGCAAUGCAUCUUCCUUG